UUCAUGUAAAGAGUAGGGUGAAUCUAGUUGUGUAUCACAUGCACGUAAAACCUCGCACAGUCGACAUGCUCUCCAGAAUAUUGCUGCUUCUCUUGGGGCUGUAUACAGGUACUGGAGAGGAUGCAUCCAUGCAACAUGCGGCAGGUCAUGGCCCCAGCAGGGGGUCUCAUGGGUCAAGUAACCGGAAGUGGGGGAGGUGCAGGCGGUGCAGGGUGCGCGAGGUCAAUCUCGUGUUCCUGCCGUGCGGUCACGUGGUGUGUUGUGCCGACUGUGGCGUCAUCUCCAGUACCUGUGACGUAUGUCACGCGCCCAUCAGGGGCAGUGUGAGGACUAGCCGGUGACACGUGAUACGGAAAUUUGUUUCGUUCAUGAACUCAUCUGAUGUUUUACAGAUGUUUGAAUGUCUUUCAAAUAAUGUGAUAUUAAGUUUUGAUUAAAGAAUACCAGAGACAUGAA